UUACGUCCCCUGCCCUUUGUACACACCGCCCGUCGCUACUACCGAUUGAAUGGCUCAGUGAGGCCUUCGGACUGGCCCAGGGAGGUCGGCAACGACCACCCAGGGCCGGAAAGUUGGUCAAACUCGGUCAUUUAGAGGAAGUAAAAGUCGUAACAAGGUCUCCGUAGGUGAACCUGCGGAGGGAUCAUU
rnacentral:rRNA from 1 species